GAUUGAAGAUAGAUGGCAAGAUAGCUAGUAUUAUUGAUGAUGGAAUUGCUAAAAUUAAAGCUGAAGCCGUAAGGGAGAACAACAAUGAGCCAAAACCGAACUGGACGAUGGUACUGCUCACUAUGGCUGCUGGUUUUAUCGCGGGAGUGGAAUGCUUUCGAUAUGCCUUUCUUGCAUCAAAUGCCAAAGGAAGACGCACCCUCCAUGAGGGCAAGAGUAGACAUGCUUAGUUAAAUAGCCUAGGGCUUUCAGGUCCACUCUGUUUAUGCAAUGCAAAACCAAUUAGGUAAUCUUGGUAAAACAUUGUUAGCUAAUUAUGGUAUGCAAAACCUAUUUAUGUUGAAUGAUUGUCGUGCUAGUUUUUGGCAUAUAUCAUGUAACUUGUACUUGUAACAUGUUGCUGUUCUAUGCUGCAUGGAGCAGGUGCUCGGUUAAGUACUGCAGGUUAAUUAGUGUUUGGUAGUAACUGAAUGUGGUGUGUUUGGUGCUUACCUAGGCAUGGUCUGUUGUGAUUAUUUAUGGAACAAUUCAUGGUGUGACACUUA